rnacentral:rRNA from 3 species
ACGGGUGAGUAACACGUGGGAACGUACCUUUCGGUUCGGAAUAAUUCAGGGAAACUUGGACUAAUACCGGAUAAGCCCUUCGGGGGAAAGAUUUAUCGCCGAUAGAUCGGCCCGCGUCUGAUUAGCUAGUUGGUGAGGUAAUGGCUCACCAAGGCGACGAUCAGUAGCUGGUCUGAGAGGAUGAUCAGCCACAUUGGGACUGAGACACGGCCCAAACUCCUACGGGAGGCAGCAGUGGGGAAUAUUGGACAAUGGGCGCAAGCCUGAUCCAGCCAUGCCGCGUGAGUGAUGAAGGCCUUAGGGUUGUAAAGCUCUUUUGUCCGGGAAGAUAAUGACUGUACCGGAAGAAUAAGCCCCGGCUAACUUCGUGCCAGCAGCCGCGGUAAUACGAAGGGGGCUAGCGUUGCUCGGAAUCACUGGGCGUAAAGGGCGCGUAGGCGGACUCUUAAGUCGGGGGUGAAAGCCCAGGGCUCAACCCUGGAAUUGCCUUCGAUACUGAGAGUCUUGAGUUCGGAAGAGGUUGGUGGAACUGCGAGUGUAGAGGUGAAAUUCGUAGA